rnacentral:rRNA from 1 species
GAUGAACGCUGGCGGCGUGCUUAACACAUGCAAGUCGAACGAACCUUCGGGUUAGUGGCGGACGGGUGAGUAACGCGUGAGAAUCUGCCCUCAGGAGGGGGAUAACGGCUGGAAACGGCCGCUAAUACCCCAUAUGCCGAGAGGUGAAAUGAAUUUCGCCUGAGGAUGAGCUCGCGUCUGAUUAGCUAGUUGGUGUGGUAAAGGCUCACCAAGGCAUCGAUCAGUAGCUGGUCUGAGAGGAUGAUCAGCCACACUGGGACUGAGACACGGCCCAGACUCCUACGGGAGGCAGCAGUGGGGAAUUUUCCGCAAUGGGCGCAAGCCUGACGGAGCAACGCCGCGUGAGGGAUGAAGGCCUCUGGGCUGUAAACCUCUUUUAUCAAGGAAGAAGAUCUGACGGUACU